GUAGAGGAGGAAAAGCCAUCCCCGUCCUCCUCAAACAGAUCUCCAAACAUGACCGCUGCUGCCUUGUAAAGCUUAGUCUUGCUCCCGAUUAACAAUCAAUGGGCUCACCCUGGAAUACGACGACUUAACAGGACUAAACAUCGCCUUUAUAAACCAAAAGAACUAAACUUAUCGCCCCGUUUAAGUGUCGUGACGUUCCUCUGGAUGAAUCACAGGUGUCGCCUGUAAAUCUCAGUCUUUAAAACGCAAAGUGGAAAUCUGAGAGGCGACUGCACUGCUUCCAUAUUUCACCAUUGAGAU